GAAGGUCUAGCUCAGUGAUAGAGCGUCUGCUUAGCAUGCAUAAGGUCCUGGGUUCAAUCCCCAGUACCUCCA
rnacentral:tRNA from 1 species